GAUGAACGCUAGCUACAGGCUUAACACAUGCAAGUCGCGGGGCAGCAUGGGGGUUGCUUGCAAUCCCCGAUGGCGACCGGCGCACGGGUGAGUAACGCGUAUCCAACCUGCCCUUCACCACGGGAUAACCCGGCGAAAGUCGGACUAAUACCGUAUGUUGUCCAUUGACGGCAUCCGAUUUGGACGAAAGGUUUGGCGGUGAAGGAUGGGGAUGCGUCCGAUUAGCUGGACGGCGGGGUGACGGCCCACCGUGGCGACGAUCGGUAGGGGUUCUGAGAGGAAGGUCCCCCACACUGGAACUGAGACACGGUCCAGACUCCUACGGGAGGCAUCAGUGAGGAAUAUUGGUCAAUGGGCGUAAGCCUGAACCAGCCAAGUAGCGUGCAGGAUGACGGCCCUAUGGGUUGUAAACUGCUUUUAUGCGGGGAUAAAGUGGCCCACGUGUGGGUUUUUGCAGGUACCGCAUGAAUAAGGACCGGCUAAUUCCGUG
rnacentral:rRNA from 1 species